rnacentral:rRNA from 1 species
AGAGUUGAUCAUGGCUCAGGAUGAACGCUGGCGGCGUGCCUAACACAUGCAAGUCGAGCGAUUCUCUUCGGAGAAGAGCGGCGGACGGGUGAGUAACGCGUGGGUAACCUGCCUCAUACACAUGGAUAACAUACCGAAAGGUAUGCUAAUACAGGAUAACAUAAGAGAUUCACAUGGAUUUCUUAUCAAAGCUCCGGCGGUAUGAGAUGGACCCGCGUCUGAUUAGCUAGUUGGUAAGGUAACGGCUUACCAAGGCGACGAUCAGUAGCCGACCUGAGAGGGUGAUCGGCCACAUUGGAACUGAGACACGGUCCAAACUCCUACGGGAGGCAGCAGUGGGGAAUAUUGCACAAUGGGCGAAAGCCUGAUGCAGCAACGCCGCGUGAGUGAUGAAGGCUUUCGGGUCGUAAAACUCUGUCCUCAAGGAAGAUAAUGACGGUACUUGAGGAGGAAGCCCCGGCUAACUACGUGCCAGCCGCUGC